rnacentral:rRNA from 1 species
CCGAGUCUUAACUGGGCGUUAAGUUGCAGGGUAUAGACCCGAAACCCGGUGAUCUAGCCAUGGGCAGGUUGAAGGUUGGGUAACACUAACUGGAGGACCGAACCGACUAAUGUUGAAAAAUUAGCGGAUGACUUGUGGCUGGGGGUGAAAGGCCAAUCAAACCGGGAGAUAGCUGGUUCUCCCCGAAAGCUAUUUAGGUAGCGCCUCGUGAAUUCAUCUCCGGGGGUAGAGCACUGUUUCGGCAAGGGGGUCAUCCCGACUUACCAACCCGAUGCAAACUGCGAAUACCGGAGAAUGUUAUCACGGGAGACACACGGCGGGUGCUAACGUCCGUCGUGAAGAGGGAAACAACCCAGACCGCCAGCUAAGGUCCCAAAGUCAUGGUUAAGUGGGAAACGAUGUGGGAAGGCCCAGACAGCCAGGAUGUUGGCUUAGAAGCAGCCAUCAUUUAAAGAAAGCGUAAUAGCUCACUGGUCGAGUCGGCCUGCGCGGAAGAUGUAACGGGGCUAAACCAUGCACCGAAGCUGCGGCAGCGACACUAUGUGUUGUUGGGUAGGGGAGCGU